AGCCAUCAUUUAAAGAAAGCGUAAUAGCUCACUGGUCGAGUCGGCCUGCGCGGAAGAUGUAACGGGGCUAAACCAUGCACCGAAGCUGCGGCAGCGACACUUAGGUGUUGUUGGGUAGGGGAGCGUUCUGUAAGCCUGCGAAGGUGACCUGUGAGGGUUGCUGGAGGUAUCAGAAGUGCGAAUGCUGACAUAAGUAACGAUAAUGCGGGUGAAAAACCCGCACGCCGGAAGACCAAGGGUUCCUGUCCAACGUUAAUCGGGGCAGGGUGAGUCGACCCCUAAGGCGAGGCCGAAAGGCGUAGUCGAUGGGAAACAGGUUAAUAUUCCUGUACUUGGUGUUACUGCGAAGGGGGGACGGAGAAGGCUAGGUUAUCCGGGCGACGGUUGUCCCGGUUUAAGCGUGUAGGUGGAUGUUUUUGGUAAAUCCGGAACAUCGUUAACACUGAGGCGUGAUGACGAGUCACUACGGUGAUGAAGUGACCGAUGCCAAGCUUCCAGGAAAAGCCUCUAAGCUCCAGGUAACACGAAAUCGUACCCCAAACCGACACAGGUGGUCAGGUAGAGAAUACCAAGGCGCUUGAGAGAACUCGGGUGAAGGAACUAGGCAAAAUGGUGCCGUAACUUCGGGAGAAGGCACGCUGGCGUUGGUGAAGGGACUUGCUCCCGGAGCUGAUACCAGUCGCAGAUACCAGCUGGCUGCAACUGUUUAAUAAAAACACAGCACUGUGCAAACACGAAAGUGGACGUAUACGGUGUGACGCCUGCCCGGUGCCGGAAGGUUAAUUGAUGGGGUCAGCCGCAAGGCGAAGCUCUUGAUCGAAGCCCCGGUAAACGGCGGCCGUAACUAUAACGGUCCUAAGGUAGCGAAAUUCCUUGUCGGGUAAGUUCCGACCUGCACGAAUGGCGUAAUGAUGGCCAGGCUGUCUCCACCCGAGACUCAGUGAAAUUGAACUCGCUGUGAAGAUGCAGUGUACCCGCGGCAAGACGGAAAGACCCCGUGAACCUUUACUAUAGCUUGACACUGAACCUUGAGCCUUGAUGUGUAGGAUAGGUGGGAGGCUUUGAAGUGUGGACGCCAGUCUGCAUGGAGCCAACCUUGAAAUACCACCCUUUAAUGUUUGAUGUUCUAACGUGGGCCCCUAAUCGGGGUUGCGGACAGUGUCUGGUGGGUAGUUUGACUGGGGCGGUCUCCUCCCAAAGAGUAACGGAGGAGCACGAAGGUUAGCUAAUCCUGGUCGGACAUCAGGAGGUUAGUGCAAAGGCAUAAGCUAGCUUGACUGCGAGAGUGACGGCUCGAGCAGGUGCGAAAGCAGGUCUUAGUGAUCCGGUGGUUCUGAAUGGAAGGGCCAUCGCUCAACGGAUAAAAGGUACUCCGGGGAUAACAGGCUGAUACCGCCCAAGAGUUCAUAUCGACGGCGGUGUUUGGCACCUCGAUGUCGGCUCAUCACAUCCUGGGGCUGAAGUAGGUCCCAAGGGUACGGCUGUUCGCCGUUUAAAGUGGUACGCGAGCUGGGUUUAGAACGUCGUGAGACAGUUCGGUCCCUAUCUGCCGUGGGCGUUGGAAGAUUGAGGGGGGUUGCUCCUAGUACGAGAGGACCGGAGUGAACGCACCACUGGUGUUCGGGUUGUGAUGCCAAUCGCAUUGCCCGGUAGCUAAGUGCGGAAGAGAUAACCGCUGAAAGCAUCUAAGCGGGAAACUUGCCCCGAGAUGAGUCUUCCCUGGGACUUCGAGUCCCCUGAAGGGCCGUUGAAGACGACGACGUAGAUAGGCUGGGUGUGUAAGCGUAGCGAUACGUUGAGCUAACCAGUACUAAUGACCCGAGAGGCUUAACC
rnacentral:rRNA from 1 species